rnacentral:tRNA from 1 species
AUUUAAAUAGUUUAUAUAAAACAUUAGUUUGUGGGGCUAAAAAAAUUAAUUAAAUUUUAAAUU